AUGAAGGUGCCCAUGUGUGCCCAAUGUUUGGGAUGCUGUGAGACAAAAGAUCCUGAAGUGCCCACGGAUGAGAAGGAUCAAAUGGCAUUGGCUGCCAUUACCAAGGGAUACAAGGGGCAUGCUCUUCCUGGUGUCCAAAAAGGAGACAGCCAAGGUGAUUUGGGAGGCCCUGAAGAUACUGCACAUCUGAGCACAUGGACUCUCAAGACAGAAUUUGAGUGGUUGGGCGUGAAGGAGUCGGAGUCGGUUAACGAUUUUGCUGCCCGGUUGAUGACCAUAAUCAACAAGAUGAGGGCACUCGGUGAGAAGUUUGAGGAGACUUCUGCAGUCAAGAAGUUCCUUCGCGCCGUCACCAACAAGUUUCUCCAAAUUGCUUCGACUAUUGGAUGA
rnacentral:rRNA from 1 species